UACGUAGGGUGCAAGCGUUAAUCGGAAUUACUGGGCGUAAAGCGUGCGCAGGCGGUUGUGCAAGACAGAUGUGAAAUCCCCGGGCUCAACCUGGGAAUUGCAUUUGUGACUGCACGGCUAGAGUGUGUCAGAGGGGGGUAGAAUUCCACGUGUGAGCAGUGAAAUGCGUAGAGAUGAUGGAGGAAUACCGAUGGCGAAGGCAGCCCCCUGGGAUAACACU
rnacentral:rRNA from 1 species